rnacentral:rRNA from 1 species
AGUGAACGCUGGCGGUAUGCCUAACACAUGCAAGUCGAACGGCAGCACAGUAAGAGCUUUCUCUUACGGUUGGCGAGUGGCGGACGGGUGAGGAAUACAUCGGAAUCUACUUUUUCGUGGAUGAUAACGUAGGGAAACUUACGCUAAUACCUCAUACGACCUACGGGUUAAAUCAGAAGAUCUUCGGACCUUUCGCGAUUCAAUUAGCCGAGGUCGGAUUAGCUAGUUGGCGGGGUAAAGUCACACCAAGGCGACGAUCCGUAGCUGGUCUGAGAGGAUGACCAGCCAAACUGGACCUGAGACACGGUCAAGCCUCUUCCGGGAGGCAGAAGUGGGGAAUAUUGGACAAUGGGCGCAAGCCUGCUCCAGAAAUACCGCGGGGGUGAAGAAGGCCUUCGGGUUGUAAAGCCCUUUUGUUGGGAAAGAAAAGCAGCAGGUUAAUACCGCGCUGUUCUGACGGUACCAAAAGAAUAAGCACCGGCUAACUUCGU